rnacentral:tRNA from 1 species
CCAGCUGUGACAGAAACUGUAGCAGAUUUAAGCCCUGCCUAUGGGCAUCAAACCUGCCCCAGCUGGU